GAUGAAGAACGCAGUGAAAUGCGAUAAGUAAUGUGAAUUGCAGAAUUCAGUGAAUCAUCGAAUCUUUGAACGCACCUUGCGCCCUUUGGCCAUUCCGAAGGGCAUGCCUGUUUGAGUAUCAUGAACACCUCAACUCUCAUGGCUUGCCAUGAUGAGCUUGGACUUUGGGGGUCUUGCUGGCCUGUGGUCGGCUCCUCUCAAAUGAAUCAGCUUGCCAGUGUUUGGUGGCAUCACAAGUGUGAUAACUAUCUGCGCUCGUGGUUUCCAUCAGAUAACCUCCAGUGAUGGAGGUUCGCUGGAGCUCAUAAAUGUCUCUCCUAAGCGAGGACAGCUCUUUUAAUGUUUGAUCUCAAAUCAGGUAGGACUACCCGCUGAACUUAAGCAUAUCAAUAAGCGGAGGA
rnacentral:misc_RNA from 1 species